rnacentral:lncRNA from 1 species
UCUCCAGCUAUUCUCCAUACCCCAGGAGCAAGAAACCCUAGGGUUUCUUGCCGCUAGAUCCAUAGAAGGCAGGAAAGCAGGGGAGGCGCUAGCCCCUCCCCCUUUGUGCCGCCAACUCUCUCUCUUCUCCCUCUCUUGCAGCCACCCAAACAUCAGGUCCAGGAUCUGAAAUCUCUUGCGAAGAGGUUGGUACAAGUUUCUCUCAAAUCUGGAGUUGAUCUGAGGUCGUUUGAGGUGCGGGUGAGAUCUCCAUCAACAGAUCUACAGGAAAGGCUGCAGCAGGACAGAUCUGCAAGGUCUGGUU